rnacentral:rRNA from 1 species
UGCCUACAAGUAGUUAGAGCCCGUUAAUGGGUGAUAGCGUGCCUUUUGUAGAAUGAACCGGCGAGUUACGAUUUGUUGCAAGGUUAAGCGGAAAAAGCGGAGCCGUAGCGAAAGCGAGUCUGAAUAGGGCGCAUAAGUAACAGGUCGUAGACCCGAAACCAGGUGAUCUACCCAUGUCCAGGAUGAAGGUAAGGUAAUACUUACUGGAGGUCCGAACCCACGCACGUUGAAAAGUGCGGGGAUGAGGUGUGGGUAGCGGAGAAAUUCCAAUCGAACUUGGAGAUAGCUGGUUCUCUCCGAAAUAGCUUUAGGGCUAGCCUCGAGGUAAAGAGUCAUGGAGGUAGAGCACUGUUUGGACUAGGGGCCCUUCUCGGGUUACCGAAUUCAGAUAAACUCCGAAUGCCAUGUACUUAUACUCGGGAGUCAGACUGCGAGUGAUAAGAUCCGUAGUCGAAAGGGAAACAGCCCAGACCACCAGUUAAGGUCCCCAAAUAUAUGUUAAGUGGAAAAGGAUGUGGGGUUGCUUAGACAACCAGGAUGUUGGCUUAGAAGCAGCCACCAUUGAAAGAGUGCGUAAUAGCUCACUGGUCGAGUGACCCCGCGCCGAAAAUGUACCGGGGCUAAACAUAUUACCGAAACUGUGGAUGAACCUCUUUAGAGGUUCGUGGUAGGAGAGCGUUCUAAGGGCGGUGAAGUCAGACCGGAAGGACUGGUGGAGCGCUUAGAAGUGAGAAUGCCGGUAUGAGUAGCGAAAGAAGGGUGAGAAUCCCUUCCACCGAAUAUCUAAGGUUUCCUGAGGAAGGCUCGUCCGCUCAGGGUUAGUCGGGACCUAAGCCGAGGCCGAUAGGCGUAGGCGAUGGACAACAGGUAGAGAUUCCUGUACCAGUGCUAAUUGUUUAACCGAUGGGGUGACACAGAAGGAUAGGGAAUCGCACGAAUGGAAAUGUGCGUCCAAGCAGUGAGUGUGAGAAGUAGGCAAAUCCGCUUCUCGCGAAGCAUGAGCUGUGAUGGGGAAGGAAAUUAAGUACGGAAGUUCCUGAUUUCACGCUGUCAAGAAAAGCCUCUAGGAAGAGUAGUACUGCCCGUACCGCAAACCGACACAGGUAGAUGAGGAGAGAAUCCUAAGGUGAGCGAGAGAACUCUCGUUAAGGAACUCGGCAAAAUGACCCCGUAACUUCGGGAGAAGGGGUGCUCUAUUAGGGUGCAAGCCCGAGAGAGCCGCAGUGAAUAGGCCCAGGCGACUGUUUAGCAAAAACACAGGUCUCUGCAAAACCGUAAGGUGACGUAUAGGGGCUGACGCCUGCCCGGUGCUGGAAGGUUAAGAGGAGUGCUUAGCUUCGGCGAAGGUACGAAUUGAAGCCCCAGUAAACGGCGGCCGUAACUAUAACGGUCCUAAGGUAGCGAAAUUCCUUGUCGGGUAAGUUCCGACCCGCACGAAAGGCGCAACGAUCUGGGCACUGUCUCAACGAGAGACUCGGUGAAAUUAUAGUACCUGUGAAGAUGCAGGUUACCCGCGACAGGACGGAAAGACCCCGUGGAGCUUUACUGCAACCUGAUAUGGAAUGUUUGUACCGCUUGUACAGGAUAGGUAGGAGCCGAAGAGACGUGUGCGCUAGCAUACGAGGAGGCAAUGGUGGGAUACUACCCUGGCUGUAUGACCAUUCUAACCCGCCACGCUUAGCGCGUGGGGAGACAGUGUCAGGUGGGCAGUUUGACUGGGGCGGUCGCCUCCUAAAGAGUAACGGAGGCGCCCAAAGGUUCCCUC